GACACGACUCUCGGCAAUGGAUAUCUCGGCUCUCGCAUCGAUGAAGAGCGCAGCGAAAUGCGAUACGUUGUGCGAAUUGCAGAAUCCCGCGAAC
rnacentral:rRNA from 3 species